GAUUUCUGGUAUGGCGCACUUGGCCCGCCUCGGCUACGAGGUAGAGUGCCGGUGUGCGCCUUCCAUCCUUCUAGAAUUUGACUUCUCCCUUAACUGGGUUGAUGCCGGAGUCUAGAUCAUUUACUUUGAAAAAAUUAGAGUGUUUAAAGCAGGCUUACGCUAUGAAUACAUUAGCAUGGAAUAAUAAUUUAGGACUUUGGUCUUAUUUUAUUGGUUUCUAGGACUAAAGUAAUGAUUGAUAGGGAUAGUUGGGGGUGCUAGUAUUCAGCGGCCAGAGGUGAAAUUCUUGGAUUCGCUGAAGACUAACUUAUGCGAAAGCAUU
rnacentral:rRNA from 1 species